AGUGAACGCUGGCGGUAGGCCUAACACAUGCAAGUCGAACGGCAGCACAGUAAGAGCUUGCUCUUACGGGUGGCGAGUGGCGGACGGGUGAGGAAUACAUCGGAAUCUACUUUUUCGUGGGGGAUAACGUAGGGAAACUUACGCUAAUACCGCAUACGACCUACGGGUGAAAGCAGGGGAUCUUCGGACCUUGCGCGAUUGAAUGAGCCGAUGUCGGAUUAGCUAGUUGGCGGGGUAAAGGCCCACCAAGGCGACGAUCCGUAGCUGGUCUGAGAGGAUGAUCAGCCACACUGGAACUGAGACACGGUCCAGACCCCUACGGGAGGCAGCAGUGGGGAAUAUUGGACAAUGGGCGAAAGCCUGAUCCAGCCAUACCGCGUGGGUGAAGAAGGCCUUCGGGUUGUAAAGCCCUUUUGUUGGGAAAGAAAAGCAGCAGGUUAAUCCCCCGCUGUUCUGACGUUACCCAAAGAAUAAGCACCGGCUAACUUCGU
rnacentral:rRNA from 1 species